AUGGGGUCAGCAUUCAUUGCAUCUGGGAUUGUAUUGUUUGUGGGUUUCUCCUAUGCCGUCGUUGUGUCCAAGCUGCUUCCACCAUAUGAGAACCAACUUAUGUCCGCUAUCCAAAAUGAUAGGUAUUACUGCCUACUUGUGCCCUUGACACGUCCUAUGAUAAUUGUGGCUGUCUAUCUGCAUUGGCUAAGUAUAUAA
rnacentral:rRNA from 1 species